GAUGAACGCUAGCGGCAGGCUUAAUACAUGCAAGUCGAGGGACAGCACAGGUAGCAAUACUGGGUGGUAACCGGCAAACGGGUGCGGAACACGUACACAACCUUCCUUCAAGUGGGGGAUAGCCCAGAGAAAUUUGGACUAAUACCCCGUAAUAUAGUUGAACGGCAUCAUUUGAUUAUUAUAGCUACGGCGCUUAAUGAUGGGUGUGCGGCUGAUUAGAUAGUUGGCGGGGUAACGGCCCACCAAGUCCACGAUCAGUAGCUGAUGGGAGAGCAUGCUCAGCCACACGGGCACUGAGACACGGGCCCGACUCCUACGGGAGGCAGCAGUAAGGAAUAUUGGUCAAUGGACGCAAGUUUGAACCAGCCAUGCCGCGUGAAGGAUUAAGGUCCUCUGGAUUGUAAACUUCUUUUAUUUGGGACGAAAAAGGGCCUUUCUAGGUCAACUGACGGUACCAGAUGAAUAAGCACCGGCUAACUCCGUGCCAGCCGCCGCCGUAACAC
rnacentral:rRNA from 1 species